rnacentral:rRNA from 1 species
GACGAACGCUGGCGGCGUGCUUAACACAUGCAAGUCGAACGGAAAGGCCCUGCUUUUGUGGGGUGCUCGAGUGGCGAACGGGUGAGUAACACGUGAGUAACCUGCCCUUGACUUUGGGAUAACUUCAGGAAACUGGGGCUAAUACCGGAUAGGAGCUCCUGCUGCAUGGUGGGGGUUGGAAAGUUUCGGCGGUUGGGGAUGGACUCGCGGCUUAUCAGCUUGUUGGUGGGGUAGUGGCUUACCAAGGGUUUGACGGGUAGCCGGCCUGAGAGGGUGACCGGCCAAAAUGGGACUGAGAUACGGACCAGAAUGCAACGGGAGGCAGGAGUGGGGAAUAUUGCAAAAUGGGAGGAAGGCUGAUGCAGCAACGCCGGGUGGGGGAUGAAGGCCUUCGGGUUGUAAACCGAUUUGGCCUGUGAAGAAGCGGGAGUGACGGUAAUGGGUAAAGAAGCACCGGCUAACUACGUG